rnacentral:lncRNA from 1 species
UCUUCUUUGUUACAUGUCUUGGAUAUGUUUCAAUUUUUAAAAGUCUCUGAUUAUUUUAAUUUUUAGUGAAUAGAAGACAAUUAGUAAUGGAAUAAUAGCAUCUUUGCUAAGUGCUAAUCGUUGUAACUACAAAUAUAACGUGUAAGCAUUGAAUGAACUUAAUAGUAAAUGCCUACAUUUUUGGAAAAUGACAUUAAGUAAGUUGUAAUUUCAUGAUAAAUGAAUUCUUGUUCUUUAUUUACAAAUAUGUGGAAACUGAAUUUAGCUUUCAGGAUGAUAUAAUUAAAACUGUGUAAAGUUUAAAUGAAAGUAACUUCAUUUUUUUAAAUUUAAUAUUACUUUGCAUUAUGUAGAUAACAGGUUUCAGAAUCAAAUUUUUUCUUGGUUAAAUUGUUUCUAUCACUACAUUAUGUAUACUGGAUAUUUUAAAAAUACAAUUAUUUCAGAAGAGGUAACCAUGACAUGUAUCUUACAGAGGUAAAAUGAUGUGGGAUAUUGUGACUAUUCUCUCUCUCUCUCUCUCUCUCUCUCUCUCUCUCUCUGUCUCUCUCUCUCUGUCUCUGUCUCUCUGUCUCUCUCUGUCUCUCUCUGUCUCUCUCUCUGUCUCUCUCUCUCUCCCUCCCUCCCUCCCUCUCUCCCUCUCUCCCUUUCUCUCCCCCCUCUCUCUCUCUGUCUCCCAUGUCUGUGUUAUAGGUGGGUUAAAUAAACUGGAUCUGAACUGUGUGUGUGAGAUAUAGAUAGCACAGUCCUCACUUGUCAAAGUAGAAUAUAGAUGUCACUUUUAAUGAUCCGUUGCUCUACAUUGAUAAUAAUGCUAUUGUGAACAUUUUGCAUUUUAGGAUACAUGCUUUCAGAGUUGAUGUCAGGAAUCUAUGUGAGAAAUGACAAAAGCUUGCAUUUCAUGAUAAUAACAAUGGAGCAAAGAUGAAAUUAGGACAUUCACAGUAGAGGAAGCAGUUUUGGAUACAAGCUGAGUGUGAAGUUUGUGCAGUUAAACAUCUGGAUUGUUCCUCAGGGUGACCACUUAAUGCUCAUUAGUCCUUGUGUUAAUUUACUCCAUUGAAAAUUAUUUUAUCAUGUUUACAAUGAAAUAUUUACAGACCCUUUAAUCACACAAGUGGGGUCAGGAUAGUACCACACGAUGAAUAUGCCACGCUUAGUCUAAUUCAUUGAAAAAUCCUGUGUGAUACGAAAAGCAAUUAUUGUUGUGAAUACAGUAAGUAGAAAACUCUACUUUCCAAAUAAAGGAAAUGGAGGAACAAAAGAAACACAUGUUAAUAUCAAGAACAGUUAUAAUGGGUUAAUGUAAAACAUAUCUUGCUUGUUUUUGCCCAUUCAUUAAGUAAAGCUUUCUUUUUCUCUUCUUCUCCUUCCUCUAUCAUUGUGUUGGAGACAGCACAGAACUGUAUUGCCCUGCAGAGUCACAAAUCUAGUCUUACAUACUUUUUAACCAAUUAUCUAAAUACAAAUCUAACUGUGAAGGAAAAGCGAUUACUGUUUAUUUAUCAGCAUAGACCCUAGAAACUUUGGCAUGACUAUGUAGGAUGUAAGAUGAACACAAAACUAACAAGACACUGAAGAUGCCAAGACAUUGCAGUUGUACACUAGUGAAGCAGCAGCCUGAGAGAGGUAGAUAUCUCAUUGCUUUCUAGUAACAUAGUCCUAUGCUAUGGUUAAUUUUAAACUAUAAAAAUGCUAUUGAUGAAUCAAUACAUUUUCCCUAUCUUCAACCAGGAUCAGUGAUGAACAGGAUAUUGUAUGAAUUUUCCUUAAGAGAAAUAAGUAUUUUCUUUCAUCACAUUAGAAGGAUAUAUUAAGUAUUGCUAAGGAGUAACUAUUUUUCAUAAACUUAUUUUAAAAACACACAUAAAAAUAUCUUCCGAAGAAAGGAACUUAAAGCGUGUGCAAUGAUUGUGCUGAG